CCUACGGGCGGCAGCAGUGGGGAAUAUUGGACAAUGGGGGGAACCCUGAUCCAGCCAUGCCGCGUGUGUGAAGAAGGCCCUCGGGUUGGAAAGCACUUUCAGUGAGGAAGAACGCCUGGUGGUUAAUACCCAUCAGGAAAGACAUCACUCACAGAAGAAGCACCGGCUAACUCCGUGCCAGCAGCCGCGGUAAUACGGAGGGUGCGAGCGUUAAUCGGAAUUACUGGGCGUAAAGCGCGCGUAGGUGGCUUGAUAAGCCGGUUGUGAAAGCCCCGGGCUCAACCUGGGAACGGCAUCCGGAACUGUCAAGCUAGAGUGCAGGAGAGGAAGGUAGAAUUCCCGGUGUAGCGGUGAAAUGCGUAGAGAUCGGGAGGAAUACCAGUGGCGAAGGCGGCCUUCUGGACUGACACUGACACUGAGGUGCGAAAGCGUGGGUAGCAAACAGGAUUAGAUACCCGUGUAGUC
rnacentral:rRNA from 1 species